rnacentral:rRNA from 1 species
CCUACGGGAGGCAGCAGGUAGGGGAAUUAUUGGAACAAGUGGGACGAAAGCCUGAUCCAGCAAUGCCGCGUGAGUGAUGAAGGCCUUAGGGUUGUAAAGCUCUUUUACCCGGGAUGAUAAUGACAGUACCGGGAGAAUAAGCCCCGGCUAACUCCGUGCCAGCAGCCGCGGUAAUACGGAGGGGGCUAGCGUUGUUCGGAAUUACUGGGCGUAAAGCGCACGUAGGCGGUUAUUCAAGUCAGAGGUGAAAGCCUGGAGCUCAACUCCAGAACUGCCUUUGAAACUAGAUAACUAGAAUCAUGGAGAGGUGAGUGGAAUUCCGAGUGUAGAGGUGAAAUUCGUAGAUAUUCGGAAGAACACCAGUGGCGAAGGCGGCUCACUGGACAUGUAUUGACGCUGG